UGACGAAAAAGUUUGUCAAUCUGAUGAAGCAUGCUGAAGAUGGUAUCCUUGACCUAAAUAAGGCUGCAGAAACAUUGGAGGUGAAGAAGAGGAGGAUAUAUGAUAUAACAAAUGUCUUGGAGGGCAUUGGUCUUAUCGAAAAGAAGUUCAAAAACAGAAUACAGUGGAAGGGUGUUGGUGCUUCAAAGCCAGGAGAAACAGAUGGCGACGUCUCUGUAAUACAGG